AACGAACGCUGGCGGCAUGCCUAACACAUGCAAGUCGAACGAGACCUUCGGGUCUAGUGGCGCACGGGUGCGUAACGCGUGGGAACCUGCCUUUAGGUUCGGAAUAACUCAGAGAAAUUUGAGCUAAUACCGGAUAAUGUCUUCGGACCAAAGAUUUAUCGCCUUUAGAUGGGCCCGCGUUGGAUUAGCUAGUUGGUGGGGUAAAGGCCUACCAAGGCGACGAUCCAUAGCUGGUCUGAGAGGAUGAUCAGCCACACUGGGACUGAGACACGGCCCAGACUCCUACGGGAGGCAGCAGUGGGGAAUAUUGGACAAUGGGCGAAAGCCUGAUCCAGCAAUGCCGCGUGAGUGAUGAAGGCCUUAGGGUUGUAAAGCUCUUUUACCCGAGAUGAUAAUGACAGUAUCGGAGAAUAAGCUCCGGCUAACUCCGUGCCAGCAG
rnacentral:rRNA from 1 species